UACGUAGGUGGCGAGCGUUAUCCGGAUUUACUGGGUGUAAAGGGAGCGUAGACGGAAGGCCAAGUCUGAUGUGAAAGCCCGGGGCUCAACCGCGGGACUGCAUUGGAAACUGGUCGACUGGAGUACCGGGGGGGUGAGCGGAAUUCCUGGUGUAGCGGUGAAAUGCACAGAUAUCAGGAAGAACACCGGCGGCGAAGGCGGCUCACUGGACGGCAACUGACGUUGAGGCUCGAAAGCGUGGGUAGCAAAC
rnacentral:rRNA from 1 species